ACGAUUGAUUUUGUUGGAUCGUCUUCUGGUUUUUGUAUCGUUGAAUUUCAAUUUAAUGUGUCCGUGGGUGGUUGAUGUAGGUAUGAGUUCGUGGAAAGAUAUGAUAUAUGCAGAUGCGGAUACCUUUGAGGCUUUUGUCCGUGCACAGUUUGAGAUGGAGAUGGAGCGCGGUUUGGCGGAGAUUGACGCCGGCCUUGUUCGCCUGUGCGAUAAAGAUGAUCGGGAUCGGAUGAAGCCAGAAGAAGAUAAAAAAAUUUGAGUUUGGGGAGGACGAGUCUAAGGCUGAUCAAAUGAUUAGUGGUAUGCCUCUGAGUACUACUGAUGUUGAAUUAGUUUCCACUGAGUCCUCUAAAGAAAAGGCGGCAGAGAGUGUUGAUGAUCCCACAAACUAUUCAAGAGCAUCCUCAGGAAGUGGAGUCAUGCGUGCUAGACUUUGAGUGGACAUGUCGCCUCAGGAAGUGGAGUCAUUUUGUUUUUGUUUUAGAAAGAAGCAGUUCUUGUUUUAUUUUUGCUAUAUCUUAUUUACAAUGCUUAUAUCCCUAAUAAAUGAGUAAAUCUGAAUAACAAUAACAAUAAGUUAUUAUUAUUAUUAUUAUUAAUGGAAUUGAUUCUUUAUCCCCAUA